rnacentral:rRNA from 1 species
AAUGAACGCUGGCGGCGUGCUUAACACAUGCAAGUCGAACGAGACGAUUGAAAGCUUGCUUUCGAAAGUCGAGUGGCAAACGGGUGAGUAACGCGUAGACAACCUGCCUUUGGGAUGGGGACAACAGUUCGAAAGGACUGCUAAUACCGAAUGUUGUAUAUUUUCCACAUGGAAGAUAUAUUAAAGAUGGCCUCUAUUUAUAAGCUAUCGCUCAAAGAUGGGUCUGCGUCUGAUUAGCUGGUUGGUGGGGUAACGGCCUACCAAGGUGACGAUCAGUAGCCGGUCUGAGAGGAUGAACGGCCACAUUGGGACUGAGACACGGCCCAGACUCCUACGGGAGGCAGCAGGUGGGAAUCUUCCACAAUGGACGAAAGUCUGAUGGAGCAACGCCGCGUGAGUGAAGAAGGGUUUCGGCUCGUAAAGCUCUGUUGUCGGGGACGAAUGUGCAGUAUUUGAAUAAAGUACUGCAAUGACGGUACCUGACGAGGAAGCCACGGCUAACUACGUGCCAGCAGCCGCCGUAA